rnacentral:rRNA from 1 species
UACGUAGGUGGCAAGCGUUGUCCGGAUUCACUGGGCGUAAAGCGCACGUAGGCGGCUUUCUAAGUCAGGGGUGAAAUCCUGGAGCUCAACUCCAGAACUGCCUUUGAUACUGGAGAGCUUGAGUCCGGAAGAGGUGAGUGGAACUCCGAGUGUAGAGGUGAAAUUCGUAGAUAUUCGGAAGAACACCAGUGGCGAAGGCGGCUCACUGGUCCGGUACUGACGCUGAGGUGCGAAAGCGUGGGGAGCAAACAGG